rnacentral:rRNA from 1 species
AUGAUUUGUCUAAGCUGGAAUUGCUGAGGGCUUGGGAACCCCGAGGCAGUUCGUGAGCUUCGCAAUGUGGUGAAGCAAGAAGGUCCCGCCCUUCUCUUUGUGAUGGAAACGAAGAUUAGGGCAGAAAGAGUAGAGAAUUUGAAACUCACUUUAGGUUUCUCUGGAUGUUUUGCGGUCAACAGUCACGGGCUAAGUGGAGGCAUAGGCCUGUUUUGGUCCAAAGAUGUGUCUGUUGAGCUGAAGAACUACAGUACCAGCCACAUCGAUGUUGUGGUGUGGAGAGUUGAUCAUGACUCCGAUGUCUGGAGGUUUACAGGUUUCUAUGGUGCGCCUAGAAAGGAGGACUGGCAUCACAGCUAG